UGUCUCAGAACAUAGAAAAUAAAAACUAUGCUACAUGUCAAUGUGGCUAAAUUAAGACACAGGUCAUGCUUCCAUCACAGUAGCUAUAUUACAGUGGUGACAAUGAGACCUGUAACAUUU